AAUCAACGCUAGCGGCGUGCCUCAGACAUGCAAGUCGAACGCGAAAGUUCCCUUCGGGGAGCGAGUAGAGUGGCGUACGGGUGAGUAACACGUAGGUAAUCUACCUUUGGGUGGGAAUAACAGCCGGAAACGGCGUGCUAAUACCGCAUAAUGCAGCGGCUCGACAUCGAGACAGUUGUUAAAGCGGGGAGUCGCAAGACCUCGCGCC
rnacentral:rRNA from 1 species